AUUGCAGAUAAAUGAAUGCAGGUGAAGAAGGGAAAAGAUAUAGUUGUUCUGAGGACCAUAACUCAUCAGAACACUGACCAGGUCAUAGAGGGCCAGGAGAUGGUCAGAAUUUCCUUCAGGUUCUUUGCAGCAAUGUGGGGAAAGAGAGCACACUUCCUGAUAACUCUGGUUGUCGCUGAGAGAAGCAGCACCCCACAGUAACUGGCACUUCUCCCUAGGACAAGCUGGGUAUGACUCCUAAUGGGAGUGGCCAGGGAAACAGAAGUCAAAACCAACUCAAAUGAAUUGUGGAAGAAGAGAGGUGCCUGGAAAAUGCUGAUAUGUAGAUGGGACAAAUACCCCAUAUGCUGAUGUCAGAUCACCAGCAUCCAUGUCACGAGGACCCUUGAGCAUCCUGAGGCCAGCAUCCAUGUCAUGAGGACCUUUGAGCAUCCCGUGGGGAGUGGUUCAUGUGGCAAAGAGCCAAGGCCUACCAGCAACAACAUAGUGAGCUUGGAAGCAGCCGCUCCUCUAUUUGAGCCUUAGAUGACUGCAGGUCCUCGAUUAUACCCUAUGCGAAAGGCCCCCAGCAAACCUGCAGCUGUUUUGUUCCACCUGUUUCCAUGUAAACUGGGAGAUGAUAAAUGUUUGUUGUUUUAAGUUA